CCUACGGGUGGCAGCAGUGGGGAAUAUUGCGCAAUGGCCGAAAGCCUGACGCAGCGACGUCGCGUGAGGGAUGACGGUCCUCGGAUCGUAAACCCUUGUUAGCAGGGAAGAACGGUCACUGUGCUAAUCAGCAGUGAAUUUACGUUACCUGCAAAGGUAGCAUCGGCUAAUUCCGUGCCAGCAGCCGCGGCAAUACGGAGGAUGCGAGCGUUAUUCGGUUUUAUUGGGUUUAAAGGGUGCGUAGGCGGAGUAUCAAGUCAGCGGUAAAAUCGUGGAGCUCAACUCCAUCCAGCCGUUGAAACUGAUGAUCUUGAGUGUGCGAAGAGUAUGCGGAAUGCGUGGUGUAGCGGUGAAAUGCAUAGAUAUCACGCAGAACUCCGAUUGCGAAGGCAGCAUACCGGCGCCCGACUGACGCUGAUGCACGAAAGCGUGGGUAUCGAACAGGAUUAGAUACCCGGGUAGUC
rnacentral:rRNA from 1 species